UCUUUAAAAGACAAAUCCACGAACGACGGAGAGAAACAAGAAUCCAAAGACAAAUCUACAGCGGCGCCAAGCACGUGAACAUGUGACAAGUAGAAUUUCAGUUUUUUUUUUCUCCUUAUGAUUUCCACUUUGAUCACUCUUCAUCUAUGUAA
rnacentral:ribozyme from 1 species